GAUGAACGCUGGCGGCGUGCCUAAUACAUGCAAGUCGAGCGAACGGAUAAGGAGCUUGCUCCUUUGAAGUUAGCGGCGGACGGGUGAGUAACACGUGGGUAACCUACCUAUAAGACUGGAAUAACUUCGGGAAACCGGAGCUAAUGCCGGAUAACAUUUGGAACUGCAUGGUACUAAAGUAAAGGAUGGUUUUGCUAUCACUUAUAGAUGGACCCGCGCCGUAUUAGCUAGUUGGUAAGGUAACGGCUUACCAAGGCGACGAUACCUAGCCGACAUACGAAGGUGAUCGGCCACACUAGAACUGAGACACGUGCCAGACUCCUACUGGAGGCACCAGUAGGGAAUCUUCCGAAAUGGACGAAAGUCUGACGGAUCAACGCCGCGUUAGUGAUGAAGGUUUUCUGAUCGUAAAACUCUGUUAUUAGAGAAGAACAAAUGUGUAAGUAACUGUGCACAUCUUGACGGUACCUAAUCAGAAAGCCACGGCUAACUACGUUCCAGCAUCCGCCGUAA
rnacentral:rRNA from 1 species